AGGAUUUGAUAUGUACUUUGCAAGUCGAUUCCCAAAGCUCCUAAUUGAAGUCUACAAAGUGGUUUACCGAUUCUGUAAGGAAGAGGAUUACCUUAGCAAGUAUUUCCAAUGCAGCAGCCUUCUGUAGAUUCAGAUCUUCUGUUCCAAAGACUUGAACCAAUAUGAGAAGUGCUUGUUUUGUUCUCUCUAUCUCUCUCUCUCUUCAUUUGGCGAAGGUAGGACUUCUUUUGCUUCUACUAGUAUCGAUUUUAGUUCUAAUCCAUGAUCGGUAGAUGUUUCUUCUCAUCUCUGUAUUGGAUGAUCUUUGAGUGUAGUUCGAUGAAUUGAAUGAGGCAUCCUUCCUCUUUCAUUAGGAUGCUUGUCUUCUUAGUUCUUGUAUUAGCGUAGAGUAGAUCGGUGCGUUCUUUGUGUAGAUGGAUUCUCUCUGCUUUUGUUUCAUUUUUUAUCGGAAGAGAAAUGCUGAUCAUGAGGUUGGCAACCUUCAAGCGGAUUUUUGGUUAUCUUCUCAAAGUUUUAUGGCAAAUAUGCUUCCCGGUGAUGAUCGGGUCUCGCUGUUUCGGGUUUUCCUCUUAUGCGUAGUGCAGUAAUGUUGUUGACGUCACUCCGGUUUGUCUCUAUUCAACAGACCAUGUCAGACACAAGUCGAUGCAGCGAGCGCCGGUUUCUCCCACCAUUGGCAACAGCCGCGGCUGUUCGAUCGCAUCAUCACCGGAUAAGGCAUAUUUUGGACCUCGAUCACGACUCAGAUCCACCGUUAGCGUAAGUGCAAACAUGAAACCGCAGGACAUGAAUCGAGCAUCACGUCGAAUACACCCCUACAGAUUCAGCACAAAGGCCACCUCCCUCCCACGUCGAUCGAAGCCCGUGCAAGGAGGCGUCUUCUCGACAAGUCUUGUUCCGGAAAGUUCAGGACGAUGUUGCAUGGCGUCGUUUCGCACAUACCAAUCAGCGACCAUACGAAGAUACGAACUCACUGCUCAGGGAGUCGAUCGCUACGUCAAACCCACGUACGAUCGACUCUCGGGCACUAUUAUAAAAGCCGUUGACCAGCAUCUGGCUAGAGGAUCCGAGAAAAAAGCCAAAAACCACUGACUUAAACUCCGAGAGGCCUAAGUCGGGAAUCCCCUAAUCCAGGCCUAUGUGUAGGGACACGACCACUCCCAGGCCAGCUCAAAUCCUCGGUGGAGGCGCGUUCAACCCAACUUCUGAUCCAGCCCAACCUCGGGACCCACCCGAUCGAUUGAGAGACACACUCUCAUUGAUAUGAUCUUAUAAAUAAUUAAUAUUUGUACAAUAUAAUGAUAUAAUCUUAUAAAUAAUUAAUAUUCUUAGUCAUAUUUUUCAAAGCCGUUAAUAGAUUACAUUAAAAUAGUUUAGGUGCAUUUACUUAACUAUCCAUAAGAUUUACCUGUCUAAGUUUUGUGCUUAAUUUACAGAAUGGCCAUAUUUUCUUACUGUAGGAGCACAAACAUCAACGUUGUCGACUGAUCAUAUCAUAUACUACAAUACAAAAAUUUUUUUUUUUUAUUUUUGGGGGGUCGACAAGUAGAAUACAUAUUUUAAUGCUGUCCGUCCGAUCAGAAUCAUCUGAUGGGUGACGUGUCCAUAUUUGCUCUGCCAAGCUUGGCAAGUGAUGCAAAUAAUUGAAAGUUCCGUGAAUAAUGGGCCUUUGGCAGUAUCGUUAGUCCAUAGCCUAAUCGUAGGACCUGAUUUGAUAGCACAGUUAUGGGCCAAGCCCAACUAUACGUCACGAAUACGAAAGCCAUCAAACAAUCGUACGGUGUCGCAUAUGCUUUCCGUAGUGGCCCGCGCAAGCAAGAGGCUGCAAGGCGAAAAGGAAAGGGAGAUGAUCGGGUCUGUGGAAGCUCUUGGUAUGGGGCUGGGUUGGAAAACCCUACCGCCCCGCCAUGUUUGUCUUACAUGGAGUGAGGUCUUUUCCAAUGCCUCCAAUGCCGAUGGUUUCCAGGCACCCCUCCCUUUCCCUCUCUGAGUCUUUUGAGGAUUGGUGUGACAUGCGAUGGUGAAGAAGGCGCCGGGAGGAGGGAGAGGAAGCGCAGGGAUUCCUACAAGCUGUGGGGAUGGGGGCAUCGCCGUGCCCAUACCAGCUCUGGCUGAGAGAUGCAGGUUGAUGGUGCUUGCCGAUCCCUCCCAUGCCUAUGGUUUUUAGUAGCUCGUUCCUCUCCCUUGCCCCUCUUGUAAUGCUCUUACGUUAUGGAUGCGGCUUACAGUAAGAACAGGUGUUCUUAUUUCAGCCGCCUCCUCCACCAACCAUUCUGUCCGCUGCCGGAGAGCUCCGACAAACAACCCAGCCGUUUCAGAACAUCCCCCCUCUGCACCUUUUGUCGUCGGCUGCAACAGAAUGGCACCGCUCCACGCAUCCGUCGCCCUCCUCCCUUUACACCUCCUCCCCCGGUGGUGCCGUGUUAUCCCUCCAUGGUUUGGCUCCUCAUGAAACCUCCACCAGCUGCAAAAUACCAUCUCCACCAACCAUUCUUUCCGCAGCCUGAAAGCUCCGACAAAGCACCCAGCCGUUUCAGAAGGGCAACUCCUUGUUUCCUUGCCCCAUUCUACCGUUUUGACCUAGUGGGGUUCGCCUUAUCUUGAUCCAUCCCCGGCCAAUUUAGUCGCUCCCCAAAACCAACCCCCACUCCCCCUCCUCUCCCUCCAUUCGAUGCUCCCAUCCGAGCGCUCCGUCGCUUUCUUCGCCUUGCUCCUGCUAGGGUUACUCGUCUCCGGCGUGUUGACGCCCGUGGUGCUUGAUCCGUCGGCGGAGAGCGAAUCUUGGGGGACCGCAGCUGCCGCCGCUGCAUCUGCUUCCCCUCUUCCUUCUCCUCCUACUCCUUGGCUUUCAAUUCCUGCUCCGCCUACUAGCGAGAUCUUCCAGGAAGAAAAAUGGACCGACCGGCCAUUGUCGGGGGAUUUGGUACCGGUCGAGGAGUCUCCUCCUUUUGUCCCGGAUCCCAAAUCGGCGUUGCUAUUGAGUUCGGCUGAAAGGUAAGCACUUGGAUUUUGGAUUGGUUCAAGUAAGAGCAGGGUUUUCUGCUAUCGCUCGUAUGUUUUUGAUUGGUUGUGUUUGUUAAAGAUCUAACUUUUUAAAGUUCAAGACACGAAUUUGAAGAUAGUUGUCGUGAAAUUUGACUCUCUCCUUUCGAAAUUCGACAUUACUUGCAGCUUAGUAGAGGCUAGCUGCUGUAACAAUGACAAUUUGCUAGCUGUGAUAGGCGUUCUUUUAAGCAUGUCGACUUGUGCGAAUAUGUGUUUCAAAGUAGCAGCAGCUUGAUUAUGGUAAUUCCUGAAAUUCUCAUGUGGCUCGAUGAAACAUUUUGCACCCACUAAGAACCAUUGGCUUUCUGAUAUUUUCUAUAUUAGCUUAUGGAAACAGUUGUUAGAUGAAUGCAUAGGUAUACCUUCAAGUGGGUGAAACUAAUACUAGGUGUUUUCAAGUUUUGUUAGUGCAAGUAAUUUUGGAUCUAUGAGCAAGCUUAUGAAUGCGAAUCAGCCAGUAAGUGUUCCUUAGGAAUUGUCACAAAUUCCGUUAUGGACCAUGACCAGAUAGUGGAGAGACUAAACGAUGAACAUAUUUCUUUAGUUGGAUCACGAGGCUUGCCUACUUCCCCAAAUGGAUCUCCACUGGGAAAUUGCAUUUUUGAUAGGCCAAAAUUUCCUACAGCAUAUUCUAGUUUUGUAAACUCAAGACAGAGACCCAGAGGUCCAAUCAACUGGCUUUAUCACGAACAAGAGAGUUCUAAUACAUCAUGGAACUCAUUGGAUGAUUCAAAUACUUAUUCAAUCGACGGACAUUCUCAUGUUCAGCAAGGCCGUGGCUUGUCAACACAAUCUAUUUAUGGUCAUGGUUGGCUAUUUAUUCUCUCUGUGCCUAUAUUUGCAUUUUGCUAUUUUGGGUUGAGAAAGCUGUUCAAGAAUGAUAAAAAAUAUAAUGAUUUGAAGGAAAAGCAAUCUGUCGUUCCUAAGAAGAGAAAAUCUCGGAAGUCUGGAAAGUUGAAAAAUGCUACCAUCAGUGUUAGUCAUGACAGACAUACUUUAUCCAUGAAAGAGAAUGCUGAAACCAAUGGGCAUAAUCAAAUUCAGGUCAAUGGAAGUUAUUCAUUUAUACCUGAUGGUGAUAGUGAUGGGCGUUGGGUUGGAAGACUUUUUGUUACAAAUAUUGAAAUCGGUCACGGGAGCAAUGGUACAGUCGUCUUUGAAGGAUUUUAUGGUGGUCGUCCAGUUGCUGUAAAACGGCUUCUUCGUGCACAUCAUGAUGUUGCCUUUAAAGAGAUUCAGAAUCUUACUGCAUCUGAUCGACACCCAAAUAUUGUUCGGUGGUAUGGAGUAGAACAAGAUUUGGAUUUUUUGUAUAUCUCACUGGAGCGUUGUAUUUGCAGCCUAAGUGACUUAAUAUGCAUAUGCUCAGAUUCUUCUUCACAUUCAGUAUCUGUGGAAAAUCAAACUUUAAAUUCUGUGGUCGAAGAUAAAGUUCAAUUAAGCUUGGUGAAAGGUAUCAGAAAGGAUGUUAACUUGUGGAGAUCAAAUGGGUUUCCUUCAAGCCAACUCUUAAAGAUAAUGAGGUGCGGCUUUGUCCUUUCCAUCGUAUGUCUCUUCACUGUAGAUUUUGUGUUGCUCUGUUACUUCUUUGUCUCUUUGUAUAUAUAUUUGAGUCAAUAUUUUUUUAUAAACAGCUUAUAGGUCAUCUUUUAUCUUGUUGGCAUUGGGUGUUUAUUGAACGGUGAAGAAUUUUCCAUUUAAUAGCCAUUGUUUCCUUAAGAAUAGAAGACAAUGACAAUUUGAGUCUCAUUUGAUUGAAUUUAGCAAUUUGGUUUUUUCUUAGAAGUAGCUUCUUGAUUGCAAUAUUAUUUUCUUUCACAAAAGAAAACUUCAAAAUACAUCAGAACCAGCUCUGCUCUGUACAACAGAUGAUGGCGAAGUUGGGAAGAAGUUAUAUGCAUAUUCAUUAGUAACACAGUUUCUUAAGCACAAGAAAACUUUGUACAACAGAGGAUGACAUAUGUUUCUAUACAAAAUCAAGAGUGACAUGGUUUCUUAAACAGAAUAAAAACCUAAAGUUUAUAGCCUCUUCCAUCCUUUUAUUUGAGUAUAUUCAUCUUAAAUUCUUGAGAUCAAUUUGCUGUGUGUGUGUAACUUGGUUCAAGUAAUUUCUUUGUGUGGUUUUCUUAUGUAGAUAUUUGUAGUUAUAUUAUCGCUUUGUUGAACCAAACAAUUAGAAAGUGUGCUUCUUGCUUCAGAAUGUGUUGCGAGUUUAGGUACCGCAAUAUGUAUGCUGAACAUAUUACUUGGUUUCCAAUACUUUUCCAUUUUGUGUGAUCAUCAUCAUUUUUUUCAGAUGGAGCAUUUUUCACUUCAGCUUCAACUGUAUGAAAAAGAACUUGAAUUGGAUAUACUUGUUGGGUUUGUUUACUUUUACCUCUUUUUAUUUGCUUGGAUCUCAAAUAAAAUAUUGUUCAUCAUCCCAUUAUUCUCUUUACUUCGUAUACUAAAUUUAAUGCUCGUGUCAUACUGAUCCACUUGUUAAUGCUGAUUAACUUGUUGAGGGUGUUUCAUAUGUUGUGUGCUUUGUGAAUUGAGUCUCAUAUAUAAUGCAGUAGUUGCAAGGGUAUUUGUUCUUUAUGCUGAACAAAUGAAACUCUUUGUUCCUCAAGGAUUUGUUCUUUAUGCUGAACAAAUGAGGCUGCAGGAAACUCUUGGACCUGUUCCUCAAGGAUUUGAUAUGUACUUUGCAAGUCGAUUCCCAAAGCUCCUAAUUGAAGUCUACAAAGUGGUUUACCGAUUCUGUAAGGAAGAGGAUUCCCUUAGCAAGUAUUUCGAAAGCAGCCUUUUGUAGGUUCAAAAUGCUUGUUUUGUACUUCUUGGAUGCAAUAACUAAACCCUAGUAUAUUAUCCUAAAAAGGUUGUAUCUACUAUGUUUAUAAUCCAAAUCCUGCUUA
rnacentral:lncRNA from 1 species